GAGUUCAAUAAGUAGGAGCACCCCCUUGGUGCUCCCUGGCAGACAGAGACAAUGCCUCAACUAAUUGACAAAAACAGCCAUUUUCCCUAGGUCACAAAAAUGAUCCAUAUCUAUUUUCUCCAUGUUUUAUUUUCCACAUGCUGAUCAUGCAAUGAUCUAGGGGCAAGAGCAUUCUGGACAACAAAGUGCACCAAGCAUACACUAUGGAGAAAGGACAGUUUCUU
rnacentral:lncRNA from 1 species